rnacentral:rRNA from 1 species
UACGAAGGGGGGCAAGCGUUGUUCGGAAUUAUUGGGCGUAAAGGGCGCGUAGGCGGUUCGGCAAGUCUCUAGUGAAAUCUCUGGGCUCAACUCAGAGUCUGCUGGGGGAAACUGCCGGGCUUGAGUGUGGCAGAGGAAAGUGGAAUUCCCGGUGUAGUGGUGAUAUGCGUAGAUGAUCGGGGAGGAACACCUGUGGCGAAGGCGGCUUUCUGGGCCUUACCUGACGCUGAGACGCGAAAGCGUGGGGAGCGAACCGG